UAUGGUUAAUUUAGAAGCUUCUCAACGAAGUAAAAUGUAAAACGUUUUAAAAAUAUUUUACUAAUUUGUUCUAAAUUUUUUACUAAUUUGUUCUAUUUGCAAAAUCUGUAAAUUUUUAAAUUCAACUGAUAUUUUCAUUUGGCUCUUAUCGUCCUUUGGCUUCCGAGAGGGUCUUUUUAACCGCAUCUAUCGGGAAUUCGACUGCAUGGUGAGAGACGGGGUCCGACAUAUUCAAGACAGAUCGACUUACUCCAGAAGUUCUUGGAAUGUUCGCCCAAUUUCGUUCCGAAUUCCUCAAAACCGUAGGCAGCUUACUGACGAACUUUAACUACCUAUUAAAAUACAAGAAUUUAGCAGUUAUAUAUAAUCGUUUCCUUGGCAUUUUCUAGAACAUAAAUUAACAUUUUGCAAAAUUAUCCUGCAUCAAACAAGAAGAAAUGUUUGAAUUUCAAAUAAGGCAAUGAAUAUUUUAUUAUGAUAUUAAUAUUACUGGAGAGUUAUCCUGUGACCAAAAACAAGGCGAUUGCCUGGAGCCCCAGCAACAAGAAACCCCAAACCAAUCUCUUCCUACAAAGUAUUUCUACAAAAACAUUACUCCGAAAAAAUAUGUGAAGUAAACAGUAUACUUUGGCCCCCUAAUUCAAUUUGUUUGGAACCCUUGAAGGUAUAACGUGCUACUGAGAAACAUUAUAUUUAUGUUAGACGUCUAAGUAUAUAAUUACACUUUGUAAAAGAUAUUUUCACUAAAGACUCUACCAAAUGCUCAAUUACAAGUAUUAAUCUCAAGUAAAAU